rnacentral:rRNA from 1 species
UCCAGACUCCUACGGGAGGCAGCAGUGGGGGAUAUUGCACAAUGGGGGAAACCCUGAUGCAGCGACGCCGCGUGGGCGAAGAAGUAUUUCGGUAUGUAAAGCCCUCUCGGCAGGGAAGAAGGAAUGACGGUACCUGAAUAAGAAGCACCGGCUAAAUACGUGCCAGCAGCCGCGGUAAUACGUAUGGUGCAAGCGUUAUCCGGAUUUACUGGGCGUAAAGGGAGCGCAGGCGGCGCGCCAAGUCUGAUGUGAAACCCCGGGGCUCAACCCCGGGCAUGCAUUGGAAACUGGCGGGCUGGAGUGCCGGAGAGGUAAGCGGAAUUCCUAGUGUAGCGGUGAAAUGCGUAGAUAUUAGGAGGAACACCAGUGGCGAAGGCGGCUUACUGGACGGCAACUGACGCUGAGGCUCGAAAGCGUGGGGAGCAAACAGGAUUAGAUACCCGUGUAAC